rnacentral:rRNA from 1 species
GUUGUAUGGUUAAGUGACUAAGCGUACACGGUGGAUGCCUUGGCAGUCAGAGGCGAUGAAGGACGUACUAACUUGCGAUAAGCGGUGAUGAGGCAGUAAGAGCCACUUGAGUCA